UUUGAAGGAAAGUCCUAGAUUUGCAUUAAACUGUGACAUGAGUGAGAAAGACAAUUUUGUGUGAAGGCACUGAGAUAUUCUGGUUAUUUUUUAACACAAUCAAAAUUAAGUACCCUGAAAUAUAUAAGAAGUAAAUGCUAAUUCAUAAAGUAAAAAUCUUAAGUGCCGUAGAAGUUUAAAGAAGAUGGAGAUCUGUUAACAUCUCAACAUUAUGAACUCGAAUACUCCAUAGAGACUUAGUUUCUCACACUCUGUUUUUAAAUGAGUUGCAGUAGUCAAGAGGAAAACAUAUGGAAGAGAAAGAAAUCAAGCUGGACUUUGGAGUUCUUUUUGACACCAGAUGUCCAACAAUGGCUAUGUUCGCAGACCUUGCACAGUACCUGCAAUAUUCAUGGAUGUCAUUUUGCUCCAAAAUGUGCUAUAUCAACAGCCUGUCUCAACACCAUCUCCUGUCUCAGGUUUCCUGAGAAAAGGAAGGCACUGGGGUGAAAUGAGGAGACUCCACUGGAUUGAUGGCUCUCCUGCCACUGGAUGACACAGCAAGGAGGCCUUUACCAGAUCCCAGCACUUUCGUCUUGGAUUUCCCAGCCCCUAGAACGCACUUCUUGCUGCCACUGUGUGAAGAAGGAUGUGUUUGCUUCCCCUUCCACCAUGAGUGUUAAGUUUCCUGAGGCCUCCCCAGCCAUGCUGAACUGUAUUUCCAGUGAACUUCUAAGGAGUCAACAGUUGACAAACCAAAAGAUCCUACCAAGACCCAAUCAAGAUCCCUCCUUUACUGCAUACAUGAAGAUCUGGAGAAAUACAUUCCCCUGAGAUUUCUUGAUCCUCUAAAUUGGGAUCGAGGGAGUGUCUCUGACCUCAAGAUUGAGGUAUGACUUGAAUUGGGUCUGAGCUCCAAUUUUGUUUUGUCAAUUCACAAACAUUAUUUUCCCAGGGAGGGACAAAGAAGCAUUUUAGGCAUUUUUUUUAAAAAAGAAACAUUUUAGGAAUUAUUAACAUUUUAAAGAAGUAUUUUAAAUAUUAGAUAAAGAUUUAGGUAUCACAUAUUAUAUAAAGAAGACUUUUAGGAAUUAUUAAGUAGAAAAUUGCCUAUUUUUCUAACAACAUGUCUUAGUGUGUUCUCACACUGCUGUAAAGAGCUUCUCUGAGACCAGGUAAUUUAUAAAGGAAAGAGGUUUAAUUGACUCACAGUUCUGCAUGGCUGGGAAGGCCUCAGGAAACUUACAAUCAUGGCAGAAAGGGAAGCAGGCACCUCCUCACCAGUGGCAGGAGAAAGAGUACAAGCAGGGGAAAUGCCAGACAUUUAUAAAACCAUCAGAUCUCAUGAGAACUCACUUACUAUCAUGAAAACAGCAUGAAAGACACUUCCCCCAUAAUCCAAUCACUUCCCUCUCUCUACACAUAGGGAUUACAAUUCAUGAUGAGAUUUGGUUGGGGACACAAAGCCUAACCAUGUCACAACAUUUUGGAUCAUCUCUGUCUUUCUGUUACAAGUCUUUAAGACGAAGCCUAUAGAGAGAGGAGGUGCAUAGGCCAAGUGCGUCCAUCCCAAGUACUGAAGAAUUUAAAAGAUCAUAUCACGAUGGCAUUAUUUGGACAUAAUUUGCAUUGGGUCAGUUUUCUAAAACCUUAUACAUAUGCUCUGAGUGGAUGUAUUAAUAGUUUAUGUAUACCUUAAUAAAAUUGAUUUAAAGUAAACAUUUAAGGACUUUCCUGUGGCUUGUCUUUGUGUCCCUAGAAUUGGUUUAUUUAGUUUUGUCUGACCUGAGUUGGAGGGUUUUUUGGGCCCUGUAUUAGUCUGUUUUCAUGCUGCUGAUAAAGACAUACCUCAGACUGGGGAAUUUACAAAAGAAAGAGGUUUAUUGGUGUUACAGUUCCACAUGGCUGGGGAGGCCUCACAGUCACGGUGGAAGGCAAGGAGAAGCAAGUCACAUCUUAUGGGAUGGAAGCAGGCAAAGAGAGCUUGUGCAGGGGGACU
rnacentral:lncRNA from 10 species